CCAAAUUAGAGUUAGAAGAGAGGAAUUCUCCUAUAUAAAGGUCUAGCUUGCGUUGCCAUUUUGAUCAUCCACCUUCAAUAAUGCACUCAAAGUUCCAUUCCCCUCUCUCGCUCUUCCAUGUCUUCAAUCUUCAUCCAUCAGUGCCACCUUUUGCUUCCCCUUCUUUAUAUUUGUGGGGAUCAGCAGCAAGAUCAGACACCAAAUUUACAUACAACGCGUGUGUUUGUGUGUGCAAUUAAAACUCUGUCCACACUUUUUACACAACAAUCUCUCCUAGCUACAAAUACGAAUCAAUUGUGGAAGUAAGAAAUUCUGAAAUAAAAUAUCUAUGCUAGAGGACCAUAGUAGGCGAGUCUUCAAAUUAAUUUUUCUAAUUCUUGCAUGGCACACAGCUAAAAUGGAAUAUGCCUAUGAUCAAAAUAUGAUAGAACAGAUUUUGCCAUUUGUCACAUCUCCACUGCACCAACUACCAACUAUGCACUACUCUUUGUGUCCAAAUAGACGCUUUAGCCGGUGCUAGUACCAGAAGAAGUGCCUUGGUUCGUCAAGAAACGAACCACAACACAGGUAAUGUUGUCGGAACUACCUCUCUGAUAUGCUUCUUGCAUCAACUUCUUUGCCGCCUCCUCUGCAUCAUCUAUUUUCUUUAUCAUUGCAACAGCUUCCUGGAUCAUGGGUUUGAAUUCUUGGUGUUAUAUUGAGACACAUUGAAAAAAAAAAAAAAAAACUGGUAUUCAGUUAUACAGAUAUGUGAUGAUCACAGUUCAAAGAUAAAACUAUGAAUAUAAGAAAUACUGGAAUUCGAAGCACACCUGGAUUUCUGGAUCAGCAACAACAUACUGUUUCAGAAGUCUAUCACCGAAAGCACGAGAAACGGCAAGAACGCCACCAACUCUCCAGGUUCCUCUCUAGAGUCCCCGACAUUAGCAACGAGCAAACGGUCACCAACUAGAAUGGCAGUGGAAGCAGUUGAUCCAGCAUCUCUGUUUUGGUUAUUUUCUGAUUUCAGAAAUUCAGAGUCGGUGUGGUUAUAUGCAUCAGCUGCAAACAAGAACAAUUUUGCAAGUGAACACAACGGUUAUUCUCAGGAUUUAGCAAACUUUAAGAAAACACCAGAAAAAGGCUAUGCUGAUUUUUUUUCUG